UACGUAGGGUGCAAGCGUUUGUCCGGAAUUAUUGGGCGUAAAGAGCUUGUAGGCGGUUUGUCGCGUCUGCUGUGAAAUUUCGGGGCUCAACCCCGAACUUGCAGUGGGUACGGGCAGACUAGAGUGUGGUAGGGGAGACUGGAAUUCCUGGUGUAGCGGUGAAAUGCGCAGAUAUCAGGAGGAACACCGGUGGCGAAGGCGGGUCUCUGGGCCGAUACUGACGUGAGGAGCGAAAGCGUGGGGGAGCAAACAGG
rnacentral:rRNA from 1 species